UGCUGAUCACUGCCUGUACAUAUAUAUAUAUAUAUAUAUAUAUAUAUAUAUUAAUUUGGGUAACCCUCAAAAUAUUGGGACAUAUAAAAAAAGACCACUCUGUUCCGCAGAGUAGCUGUUGACAUUAUAGUUGUGCAGGAACUUUGUUGAUUGUAGAGAACCUCGGGCAAAUUGCACAUCCCCGUGGCGGCGACUUUGCAUGCGGAUGUCAUCCAUAUCAACUUUCGAUGCCAGUUUUUGUGCCUACCAUGGUGACCACGGGUAAUGGGGAAUCAGGGUUCCAUUCCGAAAAGGAACCCUGAGAAACGGCUACCACAUGCAAGGAAGGCAGCAGGCGCACAAAUGACCCACUCCUGACGCGGGAAGGUAGUGACG
rnacentral:rRNA from 1 species